GAUGAACGCUAGCGGCAGGCUUAACACAUGCAAGUCGAGGGGUAACAGGGAGUGCUUGCACUCCGCUGACGACCGGCGCACGGGUGCGUAACGCGUAUGCAACCUACCUUUCACAGGGGGAUAGUCAAGAGAAAUUUUGAAUAAUACCCCAUACGUUCUUUUAAUAGCAUUUUUAAAAGAAGAAAAUUUCGGUGGUGAAAGAUGGGCAUGCGUCCUAUUAGCUAGAUGGUGAGGUAAUGGCUCACCAUGGCAACGAUAGGUAGGGGUCCUGAGAGGGAGAUCCCCCACACUGGUACUGAGACACGGACCAGACUCCUACGGGAGGCAGCAGUGAGGAAUAUUGGACAAUGGACGAAAGUCUGAUCCAGCUAUGCCGCGUGCAGGAUGACGGCCCUACGGGUUGUAAACUGCUUUUAUACAGGAAGAAAAACUCCGACGUGUCGGGGCUUGACGGUACUGUAAGAAUAAGGAUCGGCUAACUCCGUGCCAGCCGCCGCAGUAACAC
rnacentral:rRNA from 1 species